rnacentral:rRNA from 1 species
CCUACGGGUGGCAGCAGUAGGGAAUAUUGGUCAAUGGGCGAGAGCCUGAACCAGCCAUGCCGCGUGCAGGAAGAAGGCCCUCUGGGUUGUAAACUGCUUUUGACUAGGGCCAAAAUACCCAUGCGUGGGGAAUUGAGAGUACUAGUAGAAUAAGCACCGGCUAACUCCGUGCCAGCAGCCGCGGUAAUACGGAGGGUGCAAGCGUUGUCCGGAUUUAUUGGGUUUAAAGGGUGCGUAGGUGGCUUUUUAAGUCAGUGGUGAAAGCCUGCAGCUUAACUGUAGGACUGCCAUUGAUACUGAGAAGCUUGAGUACUGAUGAGGUAGGCGGAAUUGAUAGUGUAGCGGUGAAAUGCAUAGAUAUUAUCAAGAACACCGAUUGCGAAGGCAGCUUACUAAGGAGUUACUGACACUGAGGCACGAAAGCGUGGGGAUCAAACAGGAUUAGAUACCCGGGUAGUC